AUUGAACGCUGGCGGCAUGCUUUACACAUGCAAGUCGAACGGUAACAGGUUAAGCUGACGAGUGGCGAACGGGUGAGUAAUGCAUCGGAACGUGCCCGAUCGUGGGGGAUAACACUUCGAAAGAAGUGCUAAUACCGCAUACGAUCUGAGGAUGAAAGCGGGGGACCGUAAGGCCUCGCGCGAUCGGAGCGGCCGAUGUCAGAUUAGGUAGUUGGUGGUGUAAAGGCUCACCAAGCCGACGAUCUGUAGCUGGUCUGAGAGGACGACCAGCCACACGGGGACUGAGACACGCCCCAGACCCAUACGGGAGGCAGCGUGGGGAAAUUUUGGACAUUGGGCGCAAGCCUGACCCGGCAUUGCCGCGGGAAGAAAGAAGGCCUUGGGUUUGUAAACUGCUUUUGUACGGAGCGAAAGGGCUCCCUCUAAUACGGGGGGCUCAUGACGGUACCGUAAGAAUAAGCACCGGCUAACUACGUGCCAGCAGCCGCGUUAA
rnacentral:rRNA from 1 species